ensembl:lncRNA
GCCAGGACAACUUCCCCUUCCUGAGCUCUGGAAGGGUUAAGGAGCAUGGCUGGAGCCUGGAGAGUACCUGGAGAGAUGGCACAGGGAUUCCACCAGCAUCAUUAGCUGCAAAACACACUGCAUUCCAAGUCAUGGAGAAUCUGCCCUCUUGGGGUGGAUAUUGGGAAUUCAGAGGCAAUAAAGCCUUUCUCUCUCCCCAUCUCCUCCCCCACCAUGUCUUCAUUUUCUGGACCCAUUCUCACACUCACCAUCAGCUGUGGAACUGCAGAUGCCCUGGGUGCUCACAGCAGUACCUGCACCGUGGAGCAGAGAGGGGUUUGGUUAGAGGGACAGUGUCCUGCACACCCACAUGUUUCUGUCCAUGUCUCCAGUCUUCAGCAGUCACCACUCCACAAGUGUAUCCCCUUCCUGUAUCACCACUGUCUCCAUUUGAGCAAGCCUAAAUCCAUUUGGGAUAAGUUUUCUUUUCCAGAUGCAGUCUCCUCUACUUCCAAAAUCAUGCUUUGGGUGCAAGACUCCAUCCCACACGUACUCUACCUCCACCCUCGGCACCAUCUCAAGCCUCUUUGUGCUGGGCUUCUUCCUCCAAGCAGGGUUCCCUGCUACCCAAAGCAGCCCCAACUCACCAAACACCAGCAGCAGGAGGACAUGGACAUGGGGACACGGCAUGGCCCAUCCCACCUGCCCGCACAUCUUUUGGAGAUCUCUCCUCACGGUUCCUGCUUUGCUGUGAGCUGGGUGCAGAUGGUCACAGGCUUGUGUUGCGAGCCUAGGACACGUGCUGUGUGUUUCUGCAGCUGACAGAGAGUUACUCACAGCGAGAGGCUGUGAUGCAGCCCAUGAUGCAUUUCUCGCAUCUGCAGAGCCCCUGCUUUUCUUUCAGGACACACAGAGCCCUUAGCAGGGGCUGUGCUUCCUGUCUCUUGGGGGGAGGAAACUUCUCCCUUUUCCCUCUUUUCCCCACCUCUUCUUACUGAGUGUGACCUCAUUCUGUAUGCAGCGUCCGUUUUAUCUCUUUUUGUCAGCUAUCUUGUCUCUGUCCCCUCCCAAGCUCCUGUUCAUCUCCAGCCUGCCAAAGAGCCAUAAAAUAGAGGUGCUUGGGUUGGAAGGGACAUUAAAGGGCAUGGAAUCACUUAUAGAAUUGUAAAAACCAGCAAAAGAAACAAACAAACAAACAAACAGUAUAAGCACAGAAUUAAAGAAGCCGACACAGUACUGCCAUAAGUUAGGAGCUCAUUGCUUGUGUUCCAGUUGAGAAGGGCCACAGAUCAUUUUGUCCAGCCACGAAUGGGUAAAGGUCAAGUUCUCUCCUUCCCCAUUCAAGUGGGAUUUUUCAUCAUGAUCAUGGGUUGUAAGCACUGUGGAGAAAUUUUCCCUUGAUGAAUGGAUUCAGCAUGUAUGAAGGAAUGAGCAGGGUUGCUACCAGGAGCUCAUGGCGAGAAG